rnacentral:rRNA from 1 species
UACGUAGGUGGCAAGCGUUGUCCGGAUUUACUGGGCGUAAAGAGCGCGCAGGCGGUCGAGUAAGUCGAAUGUGAAAGCCCCCGGCUUAACUGGGGAGGGUCAUUCGAUACUGUUCGACUUGAAGGCAGGAGAGGGCAGCAGAAUUCCCGGUGUAGUGGUGAAAUGCGCAGAUAUCAGGAGGAACACCGAUGGCGAAGGCAGGUCUCUGGGCCAUAACUGACGCUGAGAAGCGAAAGCAUGGGGAGCGAACAGG